rnacentral:rRNA from 1 species
UACGUAGGGUGCGAGCGUUGUCCGGAAUUACUGGGCGUAAAGAGCUCGUAGGUGGUUUGUCGCGUUGUUCGUGAAAACUCACAGCUUAACUGUGGGCGUGCGGGCGAUACGGGCAGACUGGAGUACUGCAGGGGAGACUGGAAUUCCUGGUGUAGCGGUGGAAUGCGCAGAUAUCAGGAGGAACACCGGUGGCGAAGGCGGCAUCCUGGACCAAUAUUGACGCUGAGGAGCGAAAGCCAGGGGAGCAAACGGG